CACAACCCAAAUACAGAAUCUUUUAUGCAAAAUGCAUUGAGUACAUUGCAUCUUUCACUCAUUUUUAUUUUAGAUCCCAGACAACGAGAGGCAUAGCCUCUUCUCCGGGCGAGAGGAGAAUGGAUGGUCCACCAGAAAAAAACUGUGGGAUGUGCAUCACUCAGGGGCCUUCACAGAGGACCAAGCAAACCUCGUGGACAAGUGGGUGAUUGAAGAGGUGGAUAUUCCUCUUCAGUACGAAAUGCGGUUGGAGUAUGGCGUGAUGGUAGUGCUUCCUGAAGCCUUGCUGCAAUCUACCAGCUGCACAAAGGCACAGCCACCCUGCAGGAGGCUAGGGAUUGUGUCCGGAAAGCAGGAGUUCGUGAUUAGUUCGUGGGAGCAUUUUCAGAGUAGACUAGAGUUGAACUUUGACCUGUUACUGGUCUGUAAGAUAAUACUAUUUUCUGUCUUAGUGCUGUUUAAUCAUCUUGGUUGUUUACAAAAUGUUACCCACAUAUGUAAGAUGUUGACUUCAUUUUUAGUUCUUGAUGGCAAUCAAAAACGAACUUUGACCUGUUACUGGUCUGUAAGAUAAUACUGUUUUCUGUCUAGUGCUGUUUAAUCAUCUUGGUUGUUUACAAAAUGUUACCCACAUAUGUAAGAUGUUGACUUCAUUUUUAGUUCUUGAUGGCAAUCAAAAACGAACUUUGACCUGUUACUGGUCUGUAAGAUAAUACUGUUUUCUGUCUAGUGCUGUUUAAUCAUCUUGGCUGUUUACAAAAUGUCACCCACAUAUGUAAGAUGUUGACUUCAUUUUUAGUUCUUGAUGGCAAUCAAAAACGUGCACAUAAAAAGUGCAGUCAGGAGCUUAUGUUCUUACACACGUGAGCUUAUAUUCUUACAGACAUGAGAUAUUCUUACACACAGUAUUUUUGUAUGACAUGUUUCACAAGUUAGAUUUCAUGGAGCAAAAUGCUCAUUCAUCUGGAAAGAGUGCCCUUGUGUUCAGAGCAUUUUCAGAGUAGAGUAGUGUUAACCUUUGACGCAGGAGGAGCUGCGGGUAUG